UCUCCGUUGGUGAACCAGCGGAGGGAUCAUUAAAGAGUUGCAAAACUCCAACCCCUGUGAACGUUACCUUUUUGUUGCUUCGGCGGUCGACGCCGCCCGAGAGGGCGGGGGACGCCGCCGGAGGUCAAACCCCAAACCUGAAUUUUUGUGUAUCUCUGAGCAAAAAAAAAAGACCAAUUAAAACUUUCAACAACGGAUCUCUUGGCUCUGGCAUCGAUGAAGAACGCAGCGAAAUGCGAUAAGUAAUGUGAAUUGCAGAAUUCAGCGAAUCAUCGAAUCUUUGAACGCACAUUGCGCCCGCUGGUAUUCCAGCGGGCAUGCCUGUCCGAGCGUCAUUUCACCACUCAAGCCCAGCUUGGUGUUGGGGCACCCGGCCGCCUGGCGGUCGGGGCCCCCAAGUACAUCGGCGGUCCCGCUGGGGGCUCCGAGCGCAGUAUCACGCGGUAAAACGCGCCCCUCGCUCGGCGGCUCCUUCGGGCUUCCAGCCGCUAAACCCGUCCACCGGACGCCCCUAGAGUUGACCUCGGAUCAGGUAGGAAUACCCGCUGAACUUAA
rnacentral:rRNA from 1 species